AAUCAACGCCGGCGGCGUGCCUCAGACAUGCAAGUCGAACGCGAAAGGCCCCUUCGGGGGGCGAGUAGAGUGGCGUCCGGGUGAGUAACACGUGGGUAAUCUACCUUCGGGUGGGGAAUAACGACCGGAAACGGUCGCUAAUACCGCAUAAUGCAGCGGCACCUAAUGGUGACAGUUGUUAAAGCGGGGGAUCGCAAGACCUCGCGCCUGAAGAGGAGCCCGCGGCGGAUUAGCUAGUUGGCAGGGUAACGGCCUACCAAGGCGACGAUCCGUAGCCGGCCUGAGAGGGCGGUCGGCCACACUGGCACUGACACACGGGCCAGACUCCUACGGGAGGCAGCAGUCGGGAAUUUGGGCAAUGGGCGAAAGCCUGACCCAGCAACGCCGCGUGAAGGAUGAAGCUUUUCGGAGUGUAAACUUCAUAAGAAUGGGACGAAUAAGGAAGGGCUAAUACCCCUUUUGAUGACGGUACCAUUUGUAAGCUCCGGCUAACUCCGUGCCAGCAGCCGCGGUAAUACGGGGGAGC
rnacentral:rRNA from 1 species